UACGUAGGGUGCAAGCGUUGUCCGGAAUUAUUGGGCGUAAAGAGCUCGUAGGUGGUUCGGUAAGUCGGGUGUGAAACCUCCAGGCUCAACCUGGAGACGCCACCCGAUACUGCUGUGACUGGAGUCCGGUAGGGGAGCGUGGAAUUCCUGGUGUAGCGGUGAAAUGCGCAGAUAUCAGGAGGAACACCAGCGGCGAAGGCGGCGCUCUGGGCCGGUACUGACACUGAGGAGCGAAAGUGUGGGGAGCGAACAGG
rnacentral:rRNA from 1 species